rnacentral:rRNA from 1 species
CGUAGGUGGCAAGCGUUGUCCGGAAUUAUUGGGCGUAAAGCGCGCGCAGGCGGUUUCUUAAGUCUGAUGUGAAAGCCCACGGCUCAACCGUGGAGGGUCAUUGGAAACUGGGGAACUUGAGUGCAGAAGAGGAGAGUGGAAUUCCACGUGUAGCGGUGAAAUGCGUAGAGAUGUGGAGGAACACCAGUGGCGAAGGCGACUCUCUGGGUCUGUAACUGACGCUGAGGCGCGAAAGCGUGGGAGCGAACAGGAUU